CAAUGCAGCCGCAAGCCAAGCAAUACUGGCAUCCUCCAGAAGCUGGAAGGGGCAAGGAAUGGACAGGAUUCCCCACCAGAGCCUCUGAGGGACCGCAGCCCUACCAACACCUUGAUUCCAGCCCAGUGAUACAGAUUUUGGACUUCUGGCCUUCGACACUAGAGAACACUGAAGGAAUGUUUGGAGAGAAUGCUGAUGCCUCUGGACUGCGCCCAGUUCUAAACAAGGAUUAACACCAACCAUGCAUGCAUCUGCUAUGAACCCAAACGAUCUCUUAAAGCUGUUGCAUCUUUCCUCCCAUUCUUUGAGGACCAAAAAACGAAUAAAAAAUGUGUACUUUACAACCAAGAGAUUGUGUAAAACUCAUGCAAUUGGCAUAUCCUCUGUAAAAUUUAAGCUACUGAUCU
rnacentral:lncRNA from 1 species